rnacentral:sRNA from 1 species
UCUGUGGAAGUGGAAGUAUGAGGAACUGAAAGAAUCAAAGCCAAAACAUGUGAAAGAGUUUGACAUUCUUCUUGGUCAACAUAAUGAUGAAAUUGAAGAACUGUCAGGCAAUAUAAAGGAAGAAUCCAAAUCUCAAAACAGCAAAGACAGAGUGAUUUGUGAGUUAAGAGCAGAGCUAGAGAGAUUGCAAGCUGAAAAUACCUCGGAGUGGGACAAGAGGGAAAUACUUGAAACAGAAAAGCAGGGACUGGAGAGAGAAAAUAGAAGGCUGAAGAUCCAGGUGAAAGAAAUGGAAGAGCUCUUGGAUAAGAAAAAUAGAUUAAGUGCAAACUCUCAAAGUCCUGAUUUCAAGAUGUCACAAAUUGAUCUGCAAGAAAAAAACCAGGUAUGGGUGCUCCUUGGAGCAAAUUCUCACUGUCUAAUCUCACUCUGAUGCCUACGCAGAGUCUGUCUUCACUCGUACACGCCUCCACAUUUGGAUAUUUCCUUUUGUGCCAGCUAAUACCUGAUACUCCUUGCUCUUUUGCCCACUAGGAUGUAAAAUAAUGUUCAUGCAUCUGAAACAAAGUGUGUCAAAUGUUAAAAUAUG